GAAUGCUCUCACACUAAGUUUGGAAUGACACGGAGAUUAGCCUGGUUCCUACACAAGAAUGGCAUGCAGAUUUACGAAGUGGUCCAUAUUAGG
rnacentral:snRNA from 1 species